GCGGCCCACUCAGGAUUAGCCAGGACCACUCGGAUAAGCUGGGGACAUACUCAAGAUUAGCGGCGGAUAAACCCACGAUAAGGCUCGCCACUCCUCCAGAACGGGUUAACGUCACCCCGGCCAGCCUCCACCGGAACUCGCUCCGCAACGCAAGUACGGUAAUGAUUCCGUUUGGUGGCUCGCUUGCCCGCGAUGGUAAAGUGUGUCAACAUUGAAGGACUGUGUGGGUAAGCCUGCCUCAGAUUCAGCCGGUUGAAGGGGAGCCAGGACAAGUGCAGAUUUCGACUCGGCAGCUUCAGUGGGGUUCCCUGACGUCCGAUCUGAAUUUGUAUUGCAGGGCCGCGACGCCAACUCAGCGACGAACAUGCAGCACGCGCAGGGCGGCGCAGGGUCCUGACGACUGCGGUGGCGGCACAGGGCCUGGCGGCGGC
rnacentral:lncRNA from 1 species